rnacentral:rRNA from 1 species
UAUACGACCGUACCGCAAACCGACACUGGUGCGCGAGAUGAGUAUUCUAAGGCGCUUGAGAGAACUCAGGAGAAGGAACUCGGCAAAUUGACACCGUAACUUCGGAAGAAGGUGUGCCCUAUUAGUGUGUAGUGAACAACGAAGCAUGAAUGGGUUGCAAAAAAUCGGUGGCUGCGACUGUUUAUUAAAAACACAGCACUCUGCAAACACGAAAGUGGACGUAUAGGGUGUGACGCCUGCCCGGUGCUGGAAGAUUAAAUGAUGGGGUGCAAGCUCUUGAUUGAAGUCCCAGUAAACGGCGGCCGUAACAAUAACGGUCCUAAGGUAGCGAAAUUCCUUGUCGGGUAAGUUCCGACCUGCACGAAUGGCGUAACGAUGGCCACACUGUCUCCUCCUGAGACUCAGCGAAGUUGAAAUGUUUGUGAUGAUGCAAUCUCCCCGCGGAAAGACGGAAAGACCCCAUGAACCUUUACUGUAGCUUUGUAUUGGACUUUGAACAGAUCUGUGUAGGAUAGGUGGGAGGCUUUGAAGCAGGGUCGCUAGAUCUUGUGGAGCCAACGUUGAAAUACCACCCUGGUGUGUUUGAGGUUCUAACCUAGGUCCAUUAUCUGGAUCGGGGACAGUGCAUGGUAGGCAGUUUGACUGGGGCGGUCUCCUCCCAAAGCGUAACGGAGGAGUUCGAAGGUACGCUAGUUACGGUCGGACAUCGUGACGAUAGUGCAAUGGCAUAAGCGUGCUUAACUGCGAGACUGACAAGUCGAGCAGAUGCGAAAGCAGGACAUAGUGAUCCGGUGGUUCUGUAUGGAAGGGCCAUCGCUCAACGGAUAAAAGGUACUCUGGGGAUAACAGGCUGAUACCGCCCAAGAGUUCAUAUCGACGGCGGUGUUUGGCACCUCGAUGUCGGCUCAUCUCAUCCUGGGGCUGUAGCCGGUCCCAAGGGUAUGGCCGUUCGCCAUUUAAAGAGGUACGUGAGCUGGGUUUAAAACGUCGUGAGACAGUUUGGUCCCUAUCUUCCGUGGGCGCUGCAGAUUUGAGGAAGCCUGCUCCUAGUACGAGAGGACCGGAGUGGACACACCUCUGGUGUAUCGGUUGUCACGCCAGUGGCAUUGCCGAGUAGCUAAGUGUGGAAGAGAUAACCGCUGAAAGCAUCUAAGCGGGAAACUCGUUUCAAGAUGAGAUCUGCCGGGGCCUUGAGCCCCCUAAAGAGUCGUUCAAGACCCGGACGUUGAUAGGUCGGGUGUGGAAGCGAAAAA